GUACCAAAAAAUUAAAAAAAAUAAAAACCACAUGAAUGAGUAGAUGUAAAGGAACGAGUCACAAGGUUACACUAUCAUCCAUUCUCUGAAUUCCUCUGAGUCACAGACCAAAAUGACAGUGAUUUAUGACCCACUGACAAACGGAUUUUAGUAUAAAUAAGAAACCAGAUACCAGUUGAUGCGGAAAGAAUUAUGGGUAACACAAAAUAAUACUUGAGAUCAAAAUGACAGAGUAAUGAUCAGCAGCAAAAUACAGACUCUCUGGGACCUUGAAUCCAGACACACAGAAAAUAACAACUUGGAAAAGAGAAAAAGAAAAGCGUUAGAUCUCCAGGAAUUGGAAAGAAACUGAACAUUAGAAACUGCAGAGAAGCUGGACUAAUGGAGCACAAUGCAGAGGAAAGAAUGAAGCAAACGGGAGAGCUCACUCUGGCUCCUGGGGAGAGGAACCUAUCUCUACAGACACAAGCUUUUGCCAGUUUCCUUGCCAUCAUGUGCUGCAUCCUGUUGUCCAUUCAUCAUAGGAACCACCCCAGGCCACAUAACCUGUGCUAACACUGUCGCAGUGGAGUGACUCGGAUCAGAGGGUCACUAGCUAAGUGCACAUCGUAUAAUA
rnacentral:lncRNA from 1 species